CUACAUUAACACAGUAAACAGAUGCCGAUUUUAUAUUAACACGCAUGAAGCGCACAUUCAUGUGGCGUCACGUGACGUAGUUUUGCAUGUUAUGUAUCAUGUACUUCCGGUGAGGUUUUGUAACAAUGAUUGUGCGCUGAUGUACUUAUUCACAGUUGCACAAUAAAGACUGGGUUUGUUCGUUCAUUGCAGCGGAUCUCAUUAUUUACAAUGACUGAGGUCAGGCGGGCCAUCUCUGAAGCGCUGUGGGGAAUGUGUGCAGCGGAUGCCAUGUCGAUGCCCGUCCACUGGUACUACAGCACCCAAGACAUCAGGAGGGACUUCAGUGGCUGGAUCACUGGAUUCACUGCGCCGCGGGGCAGACACCCAUCCAGCAUCCUAAGCCUGUCCAGCACAGGUCGUACAGCUGAAAUACUGCUGGUACUGCUUUACUGAUGCUUGUAUGUAAUCAUGCUGUGUGUGAUUAUUGUGUAGCUGGCAGUGGACGCAGAGCCGGAUCAACCGGAACUGCAGCUCCUGUGGUGGGGAAUGUGAUUCUGCAUGAUAAGCUGAAGUUCUGGACGGAUCCCCGUGGAUCAGUGCACUACCAUCAGGGUCUUCACGCGGGUGGAAACACGCUGAACACUCUCUGUGCUCUGAGAGUUGUGCGCAUUCUGUCCACCGGUGCUUUCGUUAGUAUGGCUGAUCCUGAAGCACGAGCCGCCGUACUGUCGGAUUACACUGAGUUCAUGACGCGUCCCGGCUCACACAACGACACGUACGCCGAGUCCUUCCAUAGAAGCUUCUUCUCUGACUGGCAGGAACUCAGACCUACGUCCUCUAGAGAGGUUCUGGAGUUUGCGGAGCAGCGCUCCAAAUGCAUGUUGAGCACAUCCCGUGCUGACAGUCAGCUAAAUGCUAUAGGAUGUCUUCCCAUGGCCAUUCACUUUGUCCUGCUGUCUGCCACAGCCAAUGAGGAGGAAGCAGUUUCUGCAGCGGUGGAGUUUGUGAAGCUCACUCAUCCUCAUCCAGCGCUGGAGCCGCUGGUGUCUCUGUACAUGCGAGCGCUUCACGCCACACUGAAUGGAGCAUGUCUGAAACAACAGGCGGAGACGGCGCUCAAAUCACCCGUGCUGGACACCUGGGACGUGUGUCAACACUUUAUACAGUGCGCAGAGAGGAUUCCAGGAUCAUCAGUGGAGCGUCUGAAGGUUCAUCAGAGCGCUGUGGAGUCUCUCGGAAUCGCCUGCUACACACAAGGAGCUCUCAGCAGUCUCUUCUACCUGGCCUACAACUUUCAUAAUGACGUGACGGGGGGAAUCCUGACCAACACCAACUGUGGAGGUGAGAACUGUAACCGUGGGGCAGCAUUGGGGGCUCUUCUCGGGGCCCGGGCGGUGUAUCUCGGCUCAGUCGUACCACAGGAGUGGAAGGACGGGCUGGUUGAAGCUCAGGGGCGAAUCACUGACAUCCUGCAGGAGCUGAACAGAUCCACAUCAGUCUGAUGUUCUUCUGCUUGUGAACUUCCUCCUGCACUGCUGUGCUGUUUAGCUCUUCUCUUGACUCUUCAUAUGUCUUUCUGUUUGCUGUGUUUAUUCACACUCACACACACACACACACACACACACACACACUUUAUUCACACUCACACACACACACACACACACACACACACACACACUCAAGCAUGUGCUGCUGCCACAGGAAACGGUGCCCACAGAUGUGGUUUCCAGCCUGCACUGUGGAAGACUUUCCUCUCGUCUGUAUACCUUCAGUCACACUGUGACCUACUUGCAUAAUUCUCGUAUUAGAACUUCAUCUGUUAUAGAUUGUCCUGUUGUAUAGAGUAAAUGUUAAUCAGAUAGUUCAUGCUUUAAAGAUUCUCAUUAGAAUGUGUUUGAGACAUAAACUUACAAGUUGAUGUAUUGCAGAACGUGAUUGCAGAAGCGGCAUACUAAACGCUCUUGAGGACACUCAUUUCAGAGUUUGAAACAAAAAUAUAUAAUAUAAAUCUAAUAUAUAAAUAUUAUAUUUUUCUUUUCUUGUUUUUAACUAUUUGAUCCUAAAUGCUUGCAUAAAAGCUGGCCAUGAUUUGAAUUGGAUAAUUUGGUGAUAUAAAUGUGGUGACUUAAGUGUAGUUUUUAGUUUCUAGUUUUAUCUAGUUUGUAAUUAUGUAACUUUUAAAAUAAUGCAUCAUGAUUUAACUUAAUUUUACUGAAGUUCUUUUAUUAAAGGGGUCCUAUUAUGCUCUUUUACAAAGUUGAUUUUGUUUUGGGGGUGUACUAGAACAGGCUCUCAUACUAGGUUGUUCGAAAAACACAUUAUUUUUCACAUAUUUUACAUUAUUACAACACCUCUCUCCCCAGUCUGGCAUGAACGGCUCGAAUAGUUCCUGUAUCAAAUGAAGGCCCGCCUUCUGAAAUACGAAAUGUGCUGUGAUUGGUUAGCUGGGCCAGUGUAUGUUGUGAUUGGCAGCACUCGACGCCUGGUCGGGAAAUGUCAUGACCCUUACCAUAGCCGCCUGCAAGCUUCAGUGUAAAUAUUGCGUCAAAAUCAAAUCAAUUUGAGCGCGAUUAAACCCAGAUGAUUGUAAUCACUCUAAGUUCGUCUGCCUUGGGAAAGCUAGCGUGUCUCCGACAUAGUGAUAACACUUGUUGCCUUCUCUAGUGCAGCUCAACCAGGUCUCGUCCCAUUCGUCGAUAUUUGUGAUAUCACAAAUCCCGGAAAAUAUGCAUUGUAGUCCAAACGAGUCGUUCGUUGUAGUUUUUGAAAAGUGAUUUCUGUUAAAUAAAAUAUCUCCUUUUGAAGUGGACUUUGCAGAUCUUUUUUAUGCUCAAACAGCAACAUUACAGACCUAACUAAAGUUGAAAAAAUGAAAAAGCAUAAUACGACCCCUUUAAGACACUUAAACAAUUUACCUUUAAUUGUGAGUAUUAUAUACACUAUAAAUGAUCUUCUGCUUAUGCACCAAUUCAGAUUAUUUGCACAUUUUGUGAAGACAGUAGUUUUUGUUGAAGAUCAUCCAUUUCUGUGUACAGAUGUGUUGAUGAUCUGGUUUGAGUUUAUCUGUCCUGUUCGCUCACUUCAGGCCCUUCAUGAACAUGCUGUUGUGUUUGUGUCUUGUUUUAAUCAUAUUUAUAUUUUUAAUUUUCUAAAUAUAAAUCAGAUGAAUCAGUGAGUGUCAUUCUCUGUGUCUUACUGUCAUUGUAUAUGUGUUUGCUGCAGCUCUAUAUCAGAGUACAUGAGCUGAAUCGUGUUUGUUGGUGUGGAUCAGCGCUUGAUUUCUGUUUAAACCACGCAUCUCUCUGUGGUCUCAACAAAUGAGAUGAGAUGCUAAAGUUCACUCGUUUCAGUAGCAUGUAAAGCAGCUCAUCACACG
ensembl:lncRNA uncharacterized LOC107654622